UCCGGUUCCGCCGCAUGGGGGUGAUAGGCGGAAAGCGUGCGCGCCUAUUCUGCCACGGCUGCUACCUUCACCACAUCGCUCAUGUUCUGCUAGCCUCGCUCUAUGUACCCCCGGGAGAUGGAGACCAUACGCCGGUUCCUCGACGAGCACCCCGAGGUCCUGUACGGGGGCGUCGGGGCCGCAGCGCUCGUCUCCGGCGGAGCGCUCAUCUAUAAAGUCGCCACAAGAAAGAAGCCCACCCAUGCCAACGUCAACUGCUGGUUCUGCAGCCAGAGCACCGUGGUGCCCUAUGGAAACCGCAAUUGCUGGGACUGUCCCACCUGUGAGCAGUACAAUGGCUUUCAAGAGAACGGGGACUACAACAAGCCCAUCCCGGCCCAGUACCUGGAGAACCUGAACCACGGGGUGUCGGCCAGCCUGCCCCCGUCCGACCCCCCCCGGACCCUGCAGUGGGUCAACACGCAGAUGCUGCUCUGCCGGAAGUGCAACAACAACCAGUCGUCCAAGAUCAAGCAGCUGGCGUCCUUCACCCCCCGGGACGACGAGAACUACGACGAGGAGGUCGAGGCCUACAAGCACCACCUGGAGCAGACCUACAGGCUGUGCCGGCCGUGCCAGGCGGCGGUGGAGUACUACAUCAAGUACCAGAACCGGCAGCUCCGCACGGGGCUGCUGACCCACCAGCUCCGCCGCGGCAGGGACGCAGACAACGGCUUCGUCAAGAGCCCCGCCUCCGUGGCCACGCCCGCCGGCGUCAUCCUGCUGCGCGUCCUGGCCUUCCUCACCGCCGCCUUCCUGCUGGCCGUGCUGUUCUCCUGCUGGUCCAGCGCCCCCCCCGGUGACCCCGCCCCCCCCAGCCUGCCCGGAGCGGGGCAGAAGAACCAGAGCGGCGCCGGGGGGGGGCCCGCGUGGCGCCGCCUGCUGGAGCGGCUCCCGGCCGUCGCCAUGGAGACGGCCCGGCAGGGGUGGCGCUACGGCCGGGACAACCAGAUGGCGGUGGUCUCCGGGGGGCUGCUGGGCUGUGUGACCGCCAUCCUCCUCGCCGGACCCCUCAGGUUGAGGAGGAUCGACGCCGUGGCGGCCGUGCUGUGGCUGCUGCUCCUGGUGCUCUACCUGGGCGAGGGGUACCUGGGCGAGGGGUACCUGGCCGGCGCCCCCGGCUGGCUGGACGCCGCCAAGCGGGGGACCGCCGCCCUCUGCUGCCUGGUCUGCUUCGGAGCCGCCUUGGCAACGCGCAAGUCGGUCGGUCCCAGAAGAGCCCGGGGUCGAAGGUCAGAACCCCAACAGUAAACACCUGUAGACUAGACACCCACUCGCUACGACUUGGGGCCUGCAGCAGGCAGCCUGCUCUAUAAGAGUUCUCCUGGUUCUGCAGCCUGUUCUAUAAGAGUUCUCCUGGUUCUGCAGCCUGGUCUAUAAGAGUUCUCCUGGUUCUGCAGCCUGGUCUAUACUAGGCCUCCGGGUCUUCAAAGACAAAAGCUGAACAUUUCUGUGUUUAGUUUUUUGGGACUGCUCCAGUAAUGCACCAUUAACUAACCAAAACAGCCCCUCCUACUAAGGAGGCUUUGUGAUGACACCUUCUUUCUGUCUUUUAGAUCAACAUGGCGACUGGGCAUUCAUGCAGGGGCGGUUUUAAAUAUUUAAAUCGACUUUUAAAGGAGUUAAAAAAACAUGUUUCAAUAACGCGUUUGGUACAUAGAGGAUUUCACGCUCUCCUGUAGCGUGUGUGUGUGUGUGUGUGUGUGUGUGUGUGUGUGUGUGUGUGUGUGUGUGUGUGUGUGUGUGUGUGUGUGUGUGUGUGUGUGUGUGUGUGUGUGUGUGUGUGUGUGUGUGUGUGUGUGUGUGUGUGUGUGUGUUGUCAUUUGUAUACUAAUAUACUUUUAAUACUAACACCUUUUUUAAGUUUGGCCACAGCUGUUCCAAUGGGAAGGUACCGUUUUUGUAUUGUUAUACUAUCUCUUGUUUCUGCUGGUAACUUUCUGCCUGUAGUUGAAUACCAAGCAUUUCACUGUACUUUACUUUAAAUACCCAAGAUGGUUUCCAGAAUUAUGGAGUGAAAAAGUACAAAAUGCAAUUUCGGAACAGAAAUUCAAGAAAUUAUGAAAAAUACGUCACUAUGAUUUACUUAACCAAAUUGUAUGCAAUUCACUUCACGUUUCUAAAACAAACCACAUUGAUCCGUUUCUAAGAAUUGAUGGCUCGUCAAUAAUUUGAAUAACCCUUUUGUAGAAAAAAGGCUGUGGGGAAUACUGUGUAGUAAUACUUUUAAUUUCUUUUUGAGUUUUCGUUAAUUUCGAUUUUGUAUGGGAAAUAUUUGUUUCUCGUGUUCUGUGUGAGGUGGAUUUUUUUCGGGGGGGGUGGGGGGUAUCAAUUCUUAAGGAAAUAGACCAUGACUUGGGGGGGGUAGCCAUUCAUUUCCCUGUGAUUUUAUUUAUUUAGGUCUAUAUAAAUGUUGCAAUGCACAUUGCACACCUAUGAAAUCCUAAUCUGGGUAGUCCAGGGAUGUUCCUGACCCCGGUACAAAUAGAAGACACUUCUACUAACUUACUAAGGUGUGGGAGGUUUGGAAAUAACAGAGCAAUGUGUCGCUUAUUGUAAAUGAGUUGUGCAACAUUUCAUCUCCAUAUAUGUAUAUUGUACACAGUCUCGUACGACCAGUCAUUUGAGAACGAAUUGCCAACACAUGGCACCGACAACUGCUCCUACUGGUCUGAAACCUUCUCCGUCUAACUAUCACUACAUUCACUACACUUUACUACCUAACACUGGUGCAUGAAUAUGUCUCACUUACUGACAAAAACCUCAAUAAUCGACCUAGUUUUUUAAUCCUGGCUGUUGAACUUCAUGUUCAACAAUGUGAAUCGACCUUAUUGUAUUGAUUCCUGUACGCCAAAUCCUUUUUUAGAUUGUAAUUGUAUAAUCUAUGCCAUUUAUUAUUUCUGUAUCAUUCAAAUAAUCAUAUUUUUUACUGCCACACCAAAUCAUGGAAGUUAUGCAUACUUUCAAUUUGCCAGCAGAUAAUGCAGAGUUGAACCGGCCUUACGGCUGAUUGUGAAAGGCUAAGACCUGCAGAAUGCUUUCUCUCAUCCUGUAAAACCUGCUUCUGACUUGCAAGUCAGAGAUGGGUCAUUGUCUGUUCCGUCCGUCAUAGCAAAGGAGUGAUCGCUAUAUUGAAAGGUUCAUACCAUGAAUAUUUUCCAAUGACACCUUUUUAGCCUGGGAUACAGAAUGUACUUUUAUUUUUAUUUUUUAACGUUUUUUAAAGCCAUGUUUUUCUUCGCCGAUGACAGUAUUAUUUAUUCUGGGGGGAGUCUCUGUAUUGCUUUGCCAAACCCCAAACCCAGAGUUAUGAUCAGCUAUCUUUCUAUCUAGGCCCUGUGUCCUGUGCCCAGAUUAUUGGUCCAGGAGCUUCCUGAUGUCCUCAGGAGGAGUUACUUUAGAAGUCUAGUCUAGCUGUAGAGGCCAAUAUGAAGGUAUGAGGCGGUUAUGUAAUAUGAUGGGAGAAAAGUGAGUCACUACAGAUUAAUUUCUACAGCGAUUAAAGGAUUUAUUAUGAAGGACUACCUAAAUUAAUUAGGUCUAUGGAGUUUUGAUUUUUCUUUUUGUGUGGGUCUUUGAUUUGAUUUCAUUAUUGUGACAAAUGUGAUUGUGCAUGUAUCUACAUUUGUAAACAGUCGGAAGCAUAUUAUGAAAGAUUUCAUUUCAAGUGUGUGUGUGUUGCAGGAACUCUUACUUCAUUCAUAUUGUACGAUACAGAACCAAACGUAAUGUUAGCUUUUAUAAGGUCAAUUCCUGCCAACUGUAUUUAUUUAGUGUUGGUCCAACUAUCCUGUAAAUGUAGAAAGCCUGCCAUUUUUUUUUUAUACUGCCCUUAUUUAUGUAUGUAUGAUUUAGGAUGUGAAUGACCCAAUAACUUACUUAACUUGCAAAAACAAAAUAACGUGUAGACCAGUGUUUAAUUUUUGGAAAGGAGCAUUAAUUGAAGUACAUUAUACAGAACGUAUAUUUAAAACACAACACGUUUGUCGUUUCUUUUAACAAACUCAAAGAACAUGUGUGUGAAUGCAUGUCUUGGCAGUCUCUUUCUGAAACACACGUUACGCCAUCUAUCAACGUCAACGACAUCAGCGGUGACAUACUGCUUAUUCAUAUCCAGUCCGACCUGUCAACCACAUGCUGAAUUAUUCAAACCCUUCCCGAAAGGCUGUGAUGUGUUAACAGAAUAAUUAUUAUCAAAAUAGAUCCUGCCAUUGUAAAUUGUUAUGAAGCCCGAUGUUGAACAUGUGAGUUUAUGGGAAUGGCUUUUUAUUCUCAGCAGCCAGACCAGACAUAAGCUCAUCUCCGGUGUAGGAUUUCCUUAAUCUGUUACUUGCCUUUAGAAUUUGGACCGAUGUUAUUAUCAACUUAUUGUAGUUCUGUGUCCAUAGUCUACUCUAGACGAUGCCUGGAGAAGAUUAGUUACGGAACAGUCUCAAUCGAUUUUUGAUCGUUGGGAAACUGCUUUGAGGGUUAUUUGGUUGUGAAUUUUGAGAGGCUGUGAAAAUGCUGAGUUCACGUUCAUGUACUCGCUGAAACAACUCCUGCCACAUUGCUGUGUUUUGAACUGUAAUAAAGUAACGUGUAAAAUGA